UGUAGUGCUUAGCCUUUCUAGGCAA
rnacentral:piRNA from 1 species